rnacentral:rRNA from 1 species
GAUGAACGCUGGCGGCGUGCUUAACACAUGCAAGUCGAACGAUGAAGCCCAGCUUGCCGGGUGGAGUAGUGGCUAACGUGUGAGUAACACGUGAGUAACCUGCCCUUAACUCUGUGAUAAGCCUGGUAAACUGGGUCUACUACCGGAUAGGAGCGUCCACCGCAUAGUGGGUGUUAGUAAGAUUUAUUGGGUUUGGAUGGACUCGCGUCCUAUCAGCUUGUUGGGCAGGUAAGGGAACACCCAGGCGACGACGGGUAGCCGGCCUGAGAGGGUGGCCGGCCCGACUGGGACUGGGAUACGGCCCAGACUCCACCGGGACGGGAGAGUGGGGAAGAGUGCACAACGGGCGGAAGGCAGAUCCAGCGAAGCCGCGUGGGGGAUGACGGCCUUCGGGUUGUAAAGCUCUUUCAGUAGGGAAGAAGCGAAAGUGACGGUACCUGAAGAAGAAGCACCGGCUAACUACGUG